CAACCGGAAGUCACGAUCAACAUCCGGAAGCUGGCGGUCACGUGAUCAGAGUCUCUUCCGGUCACAUUUAGUACUUGGUUGCUAGGGAGACCCGGAAGUGACAGUGACCGAAACCUAACUCUUAAAACUAUGGUUCAGGAGAAGAAAGAAGAUUUGAUGAAUUCAUUUCCUUUGCAAAGAGCCAUCUGAUAGCACUAUGGUUUGGAUAUGGUGGAAUGUAUUCCCAAACAGUUCAUGUGCUAGAAUCCUGGUCUUCAGAGUGCAGGGCUGAGAAGCGGUGGAACAUUUGAGAGGUGGUCUCUCCCUGUUGGUUGUGCUCCCACCCUGAUGCCAUUCCUAUAUUGUGAUAUAGUCAGGGGCGCCUUCACCAGAGCCUUAAAUAGAUGAGGCCACAUGAUCUUGGACAUUCAGUCUCCAAAACUCGAGGUGGUGUCUUGAAAGUUUCUGACAAGCAAAGCAAGCAACCUUCUGAACGGGGGAUGGCCCAGGACAAGAGAGUUCAGAGGGAAUUAAAUGACCCCUGUUCAUAGAAGAACUCUAUGAGGAGAUAUUAUCCCUAUUUUACAAGUAGGAAACAGGCUCAAAGCACAUUUAUGAUCUGUAAUUAUGCCUGUUAACAAAUCACCUGCAAUGAAUAACUUUGGAGUAAUAUCUUCUCCCUGUCAUGAGGAACUCUUGAAAUU